AUGUGCGACCAUGUCGUUGGAGCCACGACCACUUUCGCUCUCUGGCACAAAAUCAAGGACUACUUCCUCGCCAACCGCGCCGUCCGCUACAUGAUUCUCAACCGCCAAUACCGCAACCUCAAGCAGGGCGACCUCUCGGUCUCCGAAUACGCGCGCCGCAUGAAGCAGCUCACCGACGGCCUCGCCGACAUCGACCACGCGGUCACCGAGGUGGAUCUCACCACACAGUUCCUCCAUGGCCUCGACAAGCGGCUCGAAACCAUUCGGGUCGUUCUCGGUGAUCAGACCCUCCCCUUCGACACCGUCCUCUCCCGGGUGGUCUUGGCCGAGGAGUCUCAGGCGCAGCGCGCGGCCGAGGAGAGCGCCUCUGCCUUCGCUCUCACCGGCUCCAGCACCUCCGGCGGCAACCCCGGCGCGGGUGGUCGUGCCGCUGGUGAUCGUGGUGGCAACCGCUCCUCCGACCGCGUCUCCAGUCGGCUCCAGGGGCCGCCUCAUCUGCCGCCCCAACCCUUUGGUCGUGGUCGUGGUGAUCGCGGCAGUGAUCGUGGUGACCGCGACCGUGGCCGUGGCCGCGGACGAGGCCGCGGACGCAACGACAGCGGGGGCCGUGGUUAG
rnacentral:rRNA from 1 species